UAAAACGGCUAAACUGCGUGUGCCGGAUCCCAUCCAGUCUCGGAAGCUAAACAGCACUGGGCCCAGUUAGUACUUGGAUAGGAGACUGCCUUGGAAGACCAGGGGCUGCUAGAC
rnacentral:rRNA from 12 species